ensembl:lncRNA
CACCCACCCCACCCCCUCCUGGAAAGAAGGGAGAGAGAUAACGGACACCCCGCAGGGUGUGCGCAGGGCCGAGGUGCAGGAGAUGGGUGAAAUCAAAUACGCCCGGAGGGCGCGGGGCUGCAGCCCCACCUGAGCUCCCAGCGCACCUGGGCACGGCCCGGCACGGCUGUGCGAGGCUGUCCCGCCCAGAGCAGCCCCGUAGUCACCCCCGCGCACACCUCGGCCUUAAGGACAGGAGACCCCCGGUGCCUGUGGGUCUGCCACGAAAGUCCCGGCGCUCAGCGAGCCGCCACGUGUGUUCGAACACGGACAAGUCGCCUCUUUUGCCCCCUGCCCCUCCAAAAGCGCAGUUUGCCCAACUUCUCUGCUUCUUCAUUUGCUGCUUCUCAGUCUUUAGCGUGGGAGAACCUGGAGAGGGACAGCCUGGGCUGCGCGUGGCGUGGGAUUAGCGGUAGCCCCGAGGAAGGCUGUACACGGGUUUAGAUUAGGAUAAAGCGUUUAUUGAUCGUUGCCUAGAGAUGCCCACUGCCGAAACGCUGAGUUCCUUCGCCCCUUCUCUUCGCUCUGCCUUCCUCCUCCUCCCCGCAAACCAAACUUAAAGUGAAAAGAAAAAAAAAAAAAAAAAAGCACUGCGCUCUGCCAUUUCAGUCUAAACUCUUGGGUCCAUGUGCGAAAGAUAAAAAUGAAUUUGAAUCGCCAUUGGAAAAAAUCAGGAAUUGUAUGAGAUUUGCAAGAGCUGCUUUCUUAAACGGAAAUUGAGUCCUAUUUUGUGGGAAAUUAGUUUUGCAGACUUUCUGAAAAAAAAAAAAAAAAAUCUAAAACUUUUGUUCAGCAGCUGCUCCACUUUUCCCUGCAGUUUCAGGCUGAGCUGGAACCUGCAGCAGUCUUUCGACGGACUUCUGUAGCCUCGCUUGGUACUUUACGUUGGAGGCUAAAAGCACCAUCUUCCCGAGCAAUGCCAGAAUAGGCACUCCCUAGGCUCUGCUGCCUAAAUCUCCGAAGAGCUCAUGGUAGCAGAAGCAGAGGCUGGUGAAGAGGUCAGCUCUCUCCACCCUGCUGCAGCAAUACUGUUGUCCCCAGAGCCCUGAGAAAAGACAACACUUCUCUCACCGUUAUGCUACCAGGAAACAAAUCUACAAAUAUGUGGAUUGCCACGAUAUCCUGUCAAUAAUCUAGCUGAGGGGUUGAAGUGUACAGUUAUCUAAAUAUAUAAGAAAGCACAUGGGUUGUAAAAUAAUAGGCUGUCAGCAGCACAUGCCAAUCUAUUUAGUAUGAAUUGAGACAGAGAGGCAUUACAGAGAGAAAGCCGACACCAGUGGAGUUUCUAUUCCCCCUAUGACACUGAGCAUGAACCUUGCCUCCAGACCCUUUGUCUUCACACUUCUUUCACAUUGUUCCUUUCCCUGUGUUCCUUCUGACUCUCUGCUUUCAAACUGUUCCUCAGACACCUGGGCUUUUUUGAUAAAUUUCCUAAGCAGUGCUUUGGAACUAUGCAUUUUUG